UGUACUAAGCCAAUUUGGUAUCCACACUAAGUUUGACAUCAGUGUGGUCCAGGCUGCCUAAGGAGGGGUGAACUGGCCCAGACCAGAACCAGAGCAGGUCAAAACUCCUGUGCUGAUGAGUAGUGGGAUCGUGCCUGUGAAUAGGCG
rnacentral:sRNA from 1 species